UACGAAGGGGGCUAGCGUUGCUCGGAAUCACUGGGCGUAAAGCGCACGUAGGCGGCUUUUAAGUCAGGGGUGAAAUCCUGGAGCUCAACUCCAGAACUGCCUUUGAUACUGGCGAUCUUGAGUCCGGGAGGGGUGAGUGGAACUGCGAGUGUAGAGGUGAAAUUCGUAGAUAUUCGCAAGAACACCAGUGGCGAAGGCGGCUCACUGGCCCGGUACUGACGCUGAGGUGCGAAAGCGUGGGGAGCGAACGAGG
rnacentral:rRNA from 1 species